rnacentral:rRNA from 1 species
ACGUAGGGUGCGAGCGUUAAUCGGAAUUACUGGGCGUAAAGCGUGCGCAGGCGGUUCUGUAAGACAGGUGUGAAAUCCCCGGGCUCAACCUGGGAACUGCGUUUGUGACUGCCGGGCUGGAGUACGGCAGAGGGAGGUGGAAUUCCACGUGUAGCAGUGAAAUGCGUAGAGAUGUGGAGGAACACCGAUGGCGAAGGCAGCCCCCUGGGCCGAUACUGACGCUCAUGCACGAAAGCGUGGGGAGCAAACAG